UACGAAGGGGGCUAGCGUUGCUCGGAAUCACUGGGCGUAAAGCGCACGUAGGCGGACUGUUUAGUCGGGGGUGAAAUCCCGGGGCUCAACCCCGGAACGGCCUCCGAUACUGGCAGUCUGGAGUUCGGGAGAGGCGAGUGGAAUUCCGAGUGUAGAGGUGAAAUUCGUAGAUAUUCGGAGGAACACCAGUGGCGAAGGCGGCUCGCUGGCCCGAUACUGACGCUGAGGUGCGAAAGCGUGGGGAGCAAACAGG
rnacentral:rRNA from 1 species